UAGGGAAUCUUCCGCAAUGGGCGAAAGCCUGACGGAGCAACGCCGCGUGAGUGAUGAAGGUCUUCGGAUCGUAAAACUCUGUUAUUAGGGAAGAACAAAUGUGUAAGUAACUAUGCACAUCUUGACGGUACCUAAUCAGAAAGCCACGGCUAACUACGUGCCAGCAUCCGCGGUAAUACGUAGGUGGCAAGCGUUAUCCGGAAUUAUUGGGCGUAAAGCGCGCGUAGGCGGUUUUUUAAGUCUGAUGUGAAAGCCCACGGCUCAACCGUGGAGGGUCAUUGGAAACUGGAAAACUUGAGUGCAGAAGAGGAAAGUGGAAUUCCAUGUGUAGCGGUGAAAUGCGCAGAGAUAUGGAGGAACACCAGUGGCGAAGGCGACUUUCUGGUCUGUAACUGACGCUGAUGUGCGAAAGCGUGGGGAUCAAACAGG
rnacentral:rRNA from 1 species